GUUACUGCUAUCGGUGUUCGACUAAGCCAUGCGAGUCAAAUGUUCUUCGUGAACAUGGCGGACUGCUCAGUAACACGUGGAUAACCUGCCCUUAGGUUUGGCAUAACUCCGGGAAACUGGAGAUAAUUCCGAAUAGGUCAAAUAUGCUGGAAUGCUUUUUGGCCAAAAGACUUCGGUUGCCUAAGGAUGGAUCUGCGGUCUAUCAGGUUGUAGUGGGUGUAACGUACCUACUAGCCUACGACGGAUAUGGGUUGUGAGAGCAAGAGCCCAGAGAUGGAUUCUGAGACAUGAAUCCAGGCCCUACGGGGCGCAGCAGGCGCGAAAACUUUACAAUGCGGGAAACCGCGAUAAGGGGACACCGAGUGCCAGCAUUUAUGUUGGCUGUCCACAUGUGUAAACGGCAUGUGUUAGCAAGGGCCGGGCAAGACCGGUGCCAGCCGCCGCGGUAACACCGGCGGCCCGAGUGGUAAUCACUUUUAUUGGGUCUAAAGGGUCCGUAGCCGGUUUGAUCAGUUCUUCGGGAAAUCUGACAGCUCAACUGUUAGGCUUCCGGGGAAUACUGUCAGACUUGGGACCGGGAGAGGUAAGAGGUACUACAGGGGUAGGAGUGAAAUCUUGUAAUCCCUGUGGGACCACCAGUGGCGAAGGCGUCUUACCAGAACGGGUCCGACGGUGAGGGACGAAAGCUGGGGGCACGAACCGGAUUAGAUACCCGGGUAGUCCCAGCCGUAAACGAUGUUCGCUAGGUGUCAGGGGCGGUGCGACCGCUUCUGGUGCCGUAGGGAAGCCGUGAAGCGAACCACCUGGGAAGUACGGCCGCAAGACUGAAACUUAAAGGAAUUGGCGGGGGAGCACUACAACGGGUGGAGCCUGCGGUUUAAUUGGACUCAACGCCGGAAAACUCACCGGGGGCGACAGCAAAAUGUAGGUCAAGCUAAAGACUUUACCUGAAUCGCUGAGAGGAGGUGCAUGGCCGUCGUCAGUUCGUACUGUGAAGCAUCCUGUUAAGUCAGG
rnacentral:rRNA from 1 species